UACAGAGGUGGCAAGCGUUGUUCGGAAUUACUGGGCGUAAAGGGCGCGUAGGCGGCCACCGCAAGUCGACUGUGAAAUCUCCGGGCUUAACCCGGAAAGGUCAGCCGAUACUGCGGGGCUAGAGUGCAGAAGGGGCAACUGGAAUUCUCGGUGUAGCGGUGAAAUGCGUAGAUAUCGAGAGGAACACCUGCGGCGAAGGCGGGUUGCUGGGCUGACACUGACGCUGAGGAGCGAAAGCGUGGGGAGCGAACAGG
rnacentral:rRNA from 1 species